rnacentral:rRNA from 1 species
GAUGAACGCUGGCGGCGUGCCUAAUACAUGCAAGUCGAGCGAACGGACGAGAAGCUUGCUUCUCUGAUGUUAGCGGCGGACGGGUGAGUAACACGUGGAUAACCUACCUAUAAGACUGGGAUAACUUCGGGAAACCGGAGCUAAUACCGGAUGAUAUUUUGAACCGCAUGGUUCAAAAGUGAAAGACGGUCUUGCUGUCACUUAUAGAUGGAUCUGCGCUGCAUUAGCUAGUUGGUAAGGUAACGGCUUACCAAGGCAACGAUGCAUAGCCGACCUGAGAGGGUGAUCGGCCACACUGGAACUGAGACACGGUCCAGACUCCUACGGGAGGCAGCAGUAGGGAAUCUUCCGCAAUGGGCGAAAGCCUGACGGAGCAACGCCGCGUGAGUGAUGAAGGUCUUCGGAUCGUAAAACUCUGUUAUUAGGGAAGAACAUAUGUGUAAGUAACUGUGCACAUCUUGACGGUACCUAAUCAGAAAGCCACGGCUAACUGCGUG